UUAAAGCACGGGUGUUGCAACCUAUUGCAGUGAAUAUGUUAUCCGGGGAAAUAACGAAAGGACUUCCUGUAAAAUUGACAGGCCGAUCGGUCUUACUGCCGGAACAAUUGAAGGAUAUUAUUGGACCUUUGACAAUAGCCCAGCCACCAACAGAAACGUUGAGUAGCUCCAUUUUGAUUUUACUUAAAAAAGCUCUAGGAGGCCCGUGGACACUUUUGCUGCACUCAAUCUCAAACCAUUCGUCCAGAUAACAACCCUUACUCAUUCCGAAAGGGUACGGGAUGUUUAUAUCUCCG
rnacentral:misc_RNA from 1 species